rnacentral:lncRNA from 1 species
UGAGCUUGUUCCGCGCGGAGGAUCAACUCAAAGCCUAGGGGAUUAGGGAGGGGAGGGCGCAGGUCAGAGCGGCGGGUCAGAGGCGUGAUUGGGCGCCGCACAUAACAUGCCGGUAGCUCACAGCGACAGGAAUAGCGCGCCGCCUCGGCCUCCCGGGCGCGCCCCGCCCCGUGCCCUGACUGCUGGCCGCGAACCGAGGGCACGGGCGCGGGUGAAGCGGCCCGGGCCAAGGGCUUGACUCCAGUGACCCUACUGGCCACCAGUGUCACCAGAGGGUCCCAGGAACCCGGUUGGGGUUGCGGGAGCCGGAGUUCACUGGAGAGGCACGAGUCGCCGGAGCCCCUCGACCCGGUAGUGUCGGCGGAGGGGCGUCCGGCUGGGCAGGAGGAGUGUAGACCUCCCGGUGUCCCUGUGUCUGGGAAAGAAGCCCUGGCUCAACUUUCUGCUUUGAAGAGGCCCUAAUUAAUCCAGCGGGAGCGAGGAUUAAGCUGCGACUUUGCGCGCUGACACCCAGUAGGCCGCUGCGCGCUGAAGAGGCACUGGCGGGAACCACGCCCGGGCGAAUCCCAAGCUCCCCGCCAGCGGCGCUAGGGUCUCACUGUGUUACCCAAGCUGGAAGGCAAUGGCACAAUCACAGCUCACUGCGUCCU